AGUGGGGAAUAUUGCACAAUGGGCGCAAGCCUGAUGCAGCCAUGCCGCGUGUGUGAAGAAGGCCUUCGGGUUGUAAAGCACUUUCAGCAGUGAGGAAGGUGGUGAGUUUAAUACGCUCAUCAUUUGACGUUAGCUGCAGAAGAAGCACCGGCUAACUCCGUGCCAGCAGCCGCGGUAAUACGGAGGGUGCGAGCGUUAAUCGGAAUUACUGGGCGUAAAGCGCAUGCAGGUGGUUUGUUAAGUCAGAUGUGAAAGCCCGGGGCUCAACCUCGGAAGGCCAUUUGAAACUGGCAAACUAGAGUACUGUAGAGGGGGGUAGAAUUUCAGGUGUAGCGGUGAAAUGCGUAGAGAUCUGAAGGAAUACCGGUGGCGAAGGCGGCCCCCUGGACAGAUACUGACACUCAGAUGCGAAAGCGUGGGGAGCAAA
rnacentral:rRNA from 1 species